rnacentral:rRNA from 1 species
AACGGGAGGCUGCAGUANGGAAUCUUCCACAAUGGGCGCAAGCCUGAUGGAGCAACGCCGCGUGUGUGAUGAAGGCUUUCGGGUCGUAAAGCACUGUUGUAUGGGAAGAACGGGUUUAAGAGGAAAUGCUUAAACAGUGACGGUACCAUACCAGAAAGGGACGGCUAAAUACGUGCCAGCAGCCGCGGUAAUACGUAUGUCCCGAGCGUUAUCCGGAUUUAUUGGGCGUAAAGCGAGCGCAGACGGUUGCUUAAGUCUGAAGUGAAAGCCCACAGCUCAACUGUGGAAUGGCUUUGGAAACUGGGCAACUUGAGUGCAGUAGAGGUAAGUGGAACUCCAUGUGUAGCGGUGGAAUGCGUAGAUAUAUGGAAGAACACCAGUGGCGAAGGCGGCUUACUGGACUGCAACUGACGUUGAGGCUCGAAAGUGUGGGUAGCAAACAGGAUUAGAUACCCUGGUAGUCCACACCGUAAACGAUGGAUACUAGUUGUUAGAGGGUUUCCGCCCUUUAGUGNACAANCAAACNCAUUAAGUAUCCCGCCUGGGGAGUACGACCGCAAGGUUGAAACUCAAAGGAAUUGACGGGGGCCCGCACAAGCGGUG